rnacentral:rRNA from 1 species
CCUACGGGUGGCUGCAGUGGGGAAUAUUGGACAAUGGGGGGAACCCUGAUCCAGCCAUGCCGCGUGUGUGAAGAAGGCCCUCGGGUUGUAAAGCACUUUCAGUGAGGAAGAACGCCUGGUGGUUAAUACCCAUCAGGAAAGACAUCACUCACAGAAGAAGCACCGGCUAACUCCGUACCAGCAGCCGCGGUAAUACGGAGGGUGCGAGCGUUAAUCGGAAUUACUGGGCGUAAAGCGCGCGUAGGUGGCUUGAUAAGCCGGUUGUGAAAGCCCCGGGCUCAACCUGGGAACGGCAUCCGGAACUGUCAAGCUAGAGUGCAGGAGAGGAAGGUAGAAUUCCCGGUGUAGCGGUGAAAUGCGUAGAGAUCGGGAGGAAUACCAGUGGCGAAGGCGGCCUUCUGGACUGACACUGACACUGAGGUGCGAAAGCGUGGGUAGCAAACAGGAUUAGAUACCCCUGUAGUC